UCAUUUAUUUCUGCAGUGACAGCCUAUCC
rnacentral:piRNA from 1 species